GACGAACGCUGGCGGCGUGCUUAACACAUGCAAGUCGAGCGGAAAGGCCCUUUCGGGGGUACUCGAGCGGCGAACGGGUGAGUAACACGUGAGUAAUCUGCCCUUGGCUUCGGGAUAGCCACCGGAAACGGUGAUUAAUACCGGAUACGACACAUCACUGCAUGGUGCGUGUGUGGAAAGUUUUUUCGGCCAGGGAUGUGCUCGCGGCCUAUCAGCUUGUUGGUGGGGCAAUGGCCUACCAAGGCUUCGACGGGUAGCCGGCCUGAGAGGGUGACCGGCCACACUGGGACUGAGACACGGCCCAGACUCCUACGGGAGGCAGCAGUGGGGAAUAUUGGACAAUGGGCGGAAGCCUGAUCCAGCAACGCCGCGUGAGGGAUGACGGCCUUCGGGUUGUAAACCUCUUUCAGCACAGACGAAGCGCAAGUGACGGUAUGUGCAGAAGAAGGACCGGCCAACUACGUGCCAGCCGCCGCCGUAAAAC
rnacentral:rRNA from 1 species